GCUCGACCUGCGAUCACCAUCUGCUCCUGAACUGAAGAUACCUUGAGACCAAAGGCUGUGUUCAACAAGAGUCUGCUGAUCUUAUCCAGUUGGUGUUGCUAAAGAUGAUGAUGAUGAAGAUACUCCUCCUGGUGGUUGUGGUGGGAUGCUGCAGCCAGCUCUGUGCUGCUUACUUUGAAGAUGAUCACAUACUUAGAAGAGCAGACCAAAACAAAGACUGUACUGUGUUAAUGAAAGAUUACAACUUGACACAUAAACCUGUUAACACAUUUAUUAUUGCUUCAUAUCGCACUGUAAAAGCAUUGUGUAGAAAUAGGAUGGGACAAGUCACAAGCGAUACAGAAUUUUCUGUUAUUAAUUGUAGGCGCAAUAGAUUAAAUCAAAAUGAAUACUUUACAGAACGUGCUAACAGGCGUAUUAUAAUUGUAUGUGAUAGAGGCAAUCCAUUUCAUUUAAUGGGCACUGUAUAAAGACCUCUCAAUUAUAUUGCUGCUGGUGCAAACAAUCAUCUCUCCAUUGCAAUCAAUGAGGUGAUUUAAAUGAUUGUCUAACAAAGGCUUCUUUACAAUGAAUGACUAACUUGAACUCGAAACAGAAUAUCAAGGAACAUGACUGUUGUAACACAAAUAAAAGUACUUAUUGUGGCAGACAGCCACCUGCCAAUGCUUGUUAAGUCGCAUUCAUAUUUGAAGCAAAAAUGAUCUGUGGUUCCAGAAAGACAUUAUGGGCUGCAUGUUUCCAAGUUGUGUUGAAACUGUUUUUAUUUCCAGUUAAAAAGAUCAGUUUAAAUGUCUUUACAGAGAAAUAGGUAAACAGGUAUGGCUAUUAAAUCAAGAUAUUACAAUUGAACAGGUCACACAGCAUCACUGCUGUAGAAUAGAAAACUAGAAGAAACAUACUCCAGUACUCUUGGAAUGACAGAGUACUGCAAUUCUAUUACAAUGGCUGAGUUUCCAUGUGUGGUUUGAAUUUACUCAAGACAUUUCACUUCAGCCAAAUAAAAAAUGCCCUCAUUAUCCAUGUGUACAGGUCUGGAGCUGUUUAAUAUUCAUAUUAACCAUGAGUACAGGUCUGGAGCUGUUUAAUAUGCAUACUAUCCAUGCGUACAGGUCUGGAGCUGUAUUGUAUUAAAAAGAAUCCAUCAGCAAAUCAGAUAUUUCAUUCCAAUUUAUUUAAUUCACAGUUCUAUUCUUAUGUAAGCAAUAUUUUGGGGACUUUCACACUAAAAGGCACAAGAAUCAUGGCCUUACCGUGACAGACUUAAAUAUGAUGCCCUCUCCCACUUUCCUUGAUUUGCAUAGCAUUCGGGGGAAAGCAGGUGUUCCCAGGAAAAUGAAAAUGCAACAAAAUACCAAAUCCACGUUACUUAACGAUACAUGACUGUAAAUCAAGCCAAUGAGGUAUAACCAAUAUAUCCUAAC